GCGAUGAUAGCUCAGCUGGGAGAGCGCCAGACUGAAGAAGUUACUUCGGGCUCCUGGAGGUCCCCGGUUCAAGCCCGGGUCGUCGCA
rnacentral:tRNA from 1 species